rnacentral:rRNA from 1 species
CUAAGAAUCUUCGGCAAUGGCCUAACGGCUGACCGAGCGACGCCGCGUGGACGAAGAAGGCCGCAAGGUUGUAAAGUCCUUUUCUUGACGAAGAAUAAGGCAGGGAGUGGAAAGCCCUGCUGAUGACGUUAGUCGAGGAAGAAGCCCCGGCCAAUUACGUGCCAGCAGCCGCGGUAACACGUAUGGGGCGAGCGUUGUUCGGAAUUACUGGGCGGAAAGGGCGUGUAGGCGGUUCGGCAAGCCUGGUGUGAAAGUCUCCGGCCCAACCGGGGGAUUGCACUGGGGACUGCGGGGCUUGAGUGCUGGAGAGGGAGCUGGGAUUCCUGGUGUGGGGGUGAGAUCUGUAGAGAUCAGGAAGAAAACCGGUGGCGAAGACGGGCUCCUGGCCAGACACUGACGCUGAGACGCGAGAGCGUGGGGAGCGAA